rnacentral:rRNA from 1 species
UACGUAGGUGGCAAGCGUUUGUCCGGAUUUACUGGGCGUAAAGAGCGCGCAGGCGGUCGUAUAAGUCGAAUGUGAAAGCCCCCGGCUCAACUGGGGAGGGUCAUUCGAUACUGUUCGACUCGAAGGCAGGAGAGGGAAGUGGAAUUCCGGGUGUAGUGGUGAAAUGCGUAGAUAUCCGGAGGAACACCAGUGGCGAAGGCGACUUUCUGGCCUGUUCUUGACGCUGAGGCGCGAAAGCUAGGGGAGCAAACGGG